AUGAACGCUGGCGGCGUGCCUCAUCCAUGCCAGUCGAGCGAACAGACGAGGAGCUUGCUCCUCUGACGUUAGCGGCGGACGGGUGAGUAACACGUGGAUAACCUACCUAUAAGACUGGGAUAACUUCGGGAAACCGGAGCUAAUACCGGAUAACAUGUUGAACCGCAUGGUUCAACAGUGAAAGACGGUCUUGCUGUCACUUAUAGAUGGAUCCGCGCCGCAUUAGCUAGUUGGUAAGGUAACGGCUUACCAAGGCAACGAUGCGUAGCCGACCUGAGAGGGUGAUCGGCCACACUGGAACUGAGACACGGUCCAGACUCCUACGGGAGGCAGCAGUAGGGAAUCUUCCGCAAUGGGCGAAAGCCUGACGGAGCAACGCCGCGUGAGUGAAGAAGGUCUGCGGAUCGUAAAACGCUGUUAUUAGGGAAGAACAAAUGUGUAAGUAACGAUGCACGUCUGGACGGUACCUAAGCAGAAAGCCACGGCUAACUACGG
rnacentral:rRNA from 1 species